AUGGGCUCAGCAGCUGCCCGGGCGUGGAGCUGCGGGGCCGCGCCGCCGAGGCCCCCGGGGCAGCGCAGGGAGCUCCGUCCCGGCCGCGGCCCGAUGGCAGCCGGAGCCCUAGAGUCCGGGAGACGCGCGGCCGCCCAGCCCGCGGAGCCCCCCGCGCAGCCCCCCCCCCCCCGCGCCCUGCCCUCCGGCCCGGGUGGGUGCAGCCGGAGCCCUAGUGUCCGGGAGACGCGCGGCCGCCCAGCCCGCGGAGCCCCCCCGCGCAGCCCCCCCCCCCCCGCGCCCUGCCCUCCGGCCCGGGUGGGUGCAGCCCGCGGCGCCCGCGCUCCCUCCGCGCGGCCCACGGAGGAGUGGAGGCGAGGACCGCCGCGAGCCCCGCCGCCGCCGCCGCUCCGCCCCGCCCCGCCGCCUCGGCCGCCCGCUCCAGAAGCGGAGAGCGAGCAGUGACGCCCUUCCCCGGCCUCCCCGUGCUCCCCUCCGGCUCGCCCUCUCCCGCCUUCGCCGGGCCCCCCUCCCGCUCCGCCCUCCGCGCAGAGGCCCGCGGGGUCCCGGCGAGGAAGCCCGGCCGCGCCUCUCCGCCCUCCUGGGACGGCGUCGGCGGGGGGGGCAGGAGCGGAGAAACCCCCACCAGGUGUGACCCGAGCUGCGCCGGCUGCGCGGGGGCCCGGCACUCCCGGGAGCGCGCAACCGGGGCCUCGUGCCACACGCCGGAGGCCGGGCCGGGCGCAGGCUGCGGUGCGGUGUGUGUCCCGCUCCGAUUCGAGCCGGCCGUGUCCCAGGCACAAAGGAUAAACCCGAGACUCCGAGCCGCACCCCAGCAGCCGAAACGUCGCCUGGUCCACUUUUGCACUCUCUCUCCCCGACAAGCCUGUUUUCCUAGGUUAGUCUGCGAGGGGCCAAGACAGAGAUUCAAAGCUCCCCACCCCCACCCCCCACCCCCCACCCCCGAAUUAUGAAAUGAUCUGAGGCCAGUUGGGUUGGACGUUGCUCUGGCUGCCGCGGAGGCUCUUGUCAAGAAUAGCCCCCUUGAGGGCAGCCCGGGCGGCUCAGCGGUUUGGCGCCUGCCUUUGGCCCAGGGCGCGAUCCUGGAGACCCGGGAUCGAGUCCCGCGUCGGGCUCCCUGCAUGGAGCCUGCUUCUCCUCUGUCUGUGUCUCUGCCUCUUACACCCCAGUGCUGCUUUUUCUCCUUGCAGAACCAGAUCAUCCCAGAGAUGAAGACUGAGAGUGAGAUUUUUUAAUUAAUUAAUUAAUUAAUCUAUUUAUUUAAGGUAGAAUGAGAGAAUCUAGAACUUUGGUGUGUUGGGGGCUGUGCUUUUUUUUAAAGAUUUUAUUUAUUCAUGAGAGACAGAGGGGCAGAGACAUAGGCAGAGGGAGAAGCAGGCUCCCCACAGGAAGCCCGAUGCGGGACUCUCAGGACCCUGGGAUCACGACCUGAGCCAAAGGCGGAUGCUCAACCACUGAGCCGCCCAGGCGGCCCCGGGGCCUGUGCUUUAUAAUCCAAUUUUGAAUCAGGCCUUAAAAUUGAAAAGAAACUUAGAGGUAAAUUAUACCGUAAGGUAUAUUUUACCUUAAGGGAUUUAUACUCCCCUACCCCCUUCAUCUGUAGGCAGAAACUAGGUAACAGUUCUAAUCCGAAAGGAGAUGGGAUGUUUCUUGGACGGAAGGCUUUCUGGGGAUUUCUUUUUUUCCUCUCGGAGAAAUAAAUAUUCUGAGGCCAAUGCCCCUAUUUUUAAAAGCAAUCUCCACCACACUCCCUCCCUUUACUUAUUUCAACCCCCUAUGUUAAAGUCUAUAGUUGCUAAAUUGUCUGUGACUUGGGUAUGAGAGAAAUAAAAGUAUGAUGAGAAGAAAAAUUGUUAAAGUAAUAUCACUUGUGUAAGGGCAAAGUAAUGACUUAUUCUUUUUAGUUUUGUUAGCUUGUGGUUUAUUGGCAGACUUCCUUUGAUAACUGUUAGUGGGUGGAAAUGGUCAUGCCAGGGACAAAAGCCUCAGGUAACAGGCCUGUCAGACCAGCUGCAAAAGAGGAGAGGGUUAGUUGCCCAAAUGCCUGAGCAAGUACAACGAAGAAAAUAAUAAUGUUGUUAAAAAAAACUAAGUUCAACUGAGUAAAUGUGAAGAUCUGAUCGACUUUAAUCAAUGAUUCAUGAAUUGGGCUGCAUCCCAUUUAACAAACAGAAAUGAGCUCCAAGGAGCUAUACAAAAUGAAGACUUUUAUAGGCAGAAACAAGGCAAGACAUGGAAAGUUAUUAGUAAAAGCAAAGAAAGAAUUGUUUCAGGCAAGGUCAUCUUCCUUUGGGUUGGGGGUCUGUCGUGCAGACCACCACACUAGUACUGAUCAGGAAAUUCCAGACGGUGAUUAAAAGUCACAUUUCUGUAACUAAGUCUUGGUUUGCUGUCUUAGGGCAAAGGACUCCAUAGUGAGUCUGUUAUUAUUAUUUUUUAAAACACUGUAAACAUUUUCAUGAGCACUUACUAUAUACAAGAUGCUAAAUACACUGG
rnacentral:lncRNA from 1 species